rnacentral:rRNA from 1 species
CCUAACACAUGCAAGUCGAACGAACUCUUCGGAGUUAGUGGCGCACGGGUGCGUAACGCGUGGGAAUCUGCCCUUGGGUACGGAAUAACUCAGAGAAAUUUGUGCUAAUACCGUAUAAUGACUUCGGUCCAAAGAUUUAUCGCCCAAGGAUGAGCCCGCGUAAGAUUAGCUAGUUGGUGGGGUAAAAGCCUACCAAGGCGACGAUCUUUAGCUGGUCUGAGAGGAUGAUCAGCCACACUGGGACUGAGACACGGCCCAGACUCCUACGGGAGGCAGCAGUGGGGAAUAUUGGACAAUGGGCGAAAGCCUGAUCCAGCAAUGCCGCGUGAGUGAUGAAGGCCCUAGGGUUGUAAAGCUCUUUUACCCGGGAUGAUAAUGACAGUACCGGGAGAAUAAGCUCCGGCUAACUUCGUGCCAGCAGCCGCGGUAAUACGAGGGGAGCUAGCGUUGUUCGGAAUUACUGGGCGUAAAGCGCGCGUAGGCGGCUUUUUAAGUCAGAGGUGAAAGCCCGGGGCUCAACCCCGGAAUUGCCUUUGAAACUGGAAAGCUAGAAUCUUGGAGAGGUCAGUGGAAUUCCGAGUGUAGAGGUGAAAUUCGUAGAU